UACGUAGGGUCCAAGCGUUAUCCGGAGUUACUGGGCGUAAAGCGCACGUAGGCGGAUUUGUAAGUCAGGGGUGAAAUCCCGGGGCUCAACCUCGGAACUGCCUUUGAUACUGCAAAUCUCGAGUCCGGAAGAGGUGAGUGGAAUUCUUAGUGUAGAGGUGAAAUUCGUAGAUAUUAGGAAGAACACCAGUGGCGAAGGCGGCUCACUGGUCCGGUACUGACGCUGAGGUGCGAAAGCGUGGGGAGCAAACAGG
rnacentral:rRNA from 1 species